rnacentral:rRNA from 1 species
CCUACGGGAGGCAGCAGUGAGGAAUAUUGGUCAAUGGGCGCAGGCCUGAACCAGCCAAGUCGCGUGAGGGAAGACUGCCCUAUGGGUUGUAAACCUCUGUUAUAAGGGAAGAAGAAUGACUACGUGGAGGCAGAUGCACGUACCUUAUGAAUAAGCAUCGGCUAACUCCGUGCCAGCAGCCGCGGUAAUACGGAGGAUGCGAGCGUUAUCCGGAUUUAUUGGGUUUAAAGGGUGCGUAGGCGGUAUUUUAAGUUAGUGGUAAAACGUCGGGGCUUCACCUUGAUUGGCCAUUUAAACUGGAGUACUAGCUUACAGACGAGGUAGGCGGAAUCCGUUCCGUAGCGGUGAAAUGCUUCGAUCUCACU